rnacentral:rRNA from 1 species
CAGUCGCCGCGGUAAUACGUAGGUGGCAAGCGUUGUCCGGAUUUAUUGGGCGUAAAGCGAGCGCAGGCGGUUUCUUAAGUCUGAUGUGAAAGCCCCCGGCUCAACCGGGGAGGGUCAUUGGAAACUGGGAGACUUGAGUGCAGAAGAGGAGAGUGGAAUUCCAUGUGUAGCGGUGAAAUGCGUAGAUAUAUGGAGGAACACCAGUGGCGAAGGCGGCUCUCUGGUCUGUAACUGACGCUGAGGCUCGAAAGCGUGGGGAGCGAACAGGAUUAGAUACCCCUGUAGUCCCUGUCUCUUAUAC